rnacentral:rRNA from 1 species
CAGUCGCCGCGGUAAUACGGAGGGAGCUAGCGUUGUUCGGAAUUACUGGGCGUAAAGCGCGCGUAGGCGGUUACUCAAGUCAGGGGUGAAAUCCCAGGGCUCAACCUUGGAACUGCCUUUGAUACUGUUAGUCUUGAGUUCGAGAGAGGUGAGUGGAACUGCGAGUGUAGAGGUGAAAUUCGUAGAUAUUCGCAAGAACACCAGUGGCGAAGGCGGCUCACUGGCUCGAAACUGACGCUGAGGCACGAAAGCGUGGGGAGCAAACAGGAUUAGAUACCCCAGUAGUCCCUGUCUCUUAUAA